CGAGCACUAUAGAGAAGCAGCGCCACCUUGUGGCUAGUUGAGAGGCUGCAGCAGAAUGAGCAAAGAGUCCUAGAAAGAAGCUAUGGCCCCCGGGAUCCAGCCACAACAAACACAACAAAUAGGAACCAGAAGUCAGUCUAUAUGAACAGGUUAUAUCUUGUGUUAAAUAACAGUAUAAAUUGUUGCCAGGAAUGGAAGGACCAGCCACAUCAUAAACAUGACAUUGUUCCAGUCCCUAAGACUCCACAUUUGCAAUCGGAGAUGGGUUCACACUUUGGAAUCUGAAGCCCCCUGGAAACUCCGUGACUCCCUAUGGAGCCUGGAAUGCUAAAGACAGAAGUGAACUCUGUGACUCUCUAACUGGUGAAAGCUGCCCAGGACCCUUCCAGAAUGAAGCAGAGCAAAGUCCAGAAGAUGAAUGUCUCCUAAAACUUAGGAGCAGGUAAACCCUCUUCAAAGUAUUCAGAAUUGCUCCUUCCCUGUUCCAUUAGUGCCUUAGCCCCUGACCAAGGCCUGUGAGGGUAGCUAUUAUCUACCAUCGGCUGGGAACUUUACAUGUCCAUGGAUCUCUAACUUCCCAUUACAUUGUAAAAUAGAGCAAGCCUGCAAAAAAGUAUCAGGACAAACGUGUGCAUAGAUGAACCUCACAAACAUGCUCUAAAUGAAAGAAGCCAGUCGCAAGAGGCCACCGGUUGUCUGCUUCCAUUUAUGUGAAAUACCCAGAAGAGGCACUUUAGAGAUAGAAAGUAGAUGAGUGAUUGCCAGAGGCUGGGGAACAAGGUGGGGAGGGGUGAAUACCUGCUAAUGGGCAGAGUUUCUCUUUGAGGUGACAUAUUCUAAAAUUAGAUUUGUGUAGGGGCGCCUGGGUGGCUCAGUGGUUAAACUCCCAGCUUCGGCUCAGGUC